GACGAACGCUGGCGGCGUGCCUAAUACAUGCAAGUCGAGCGGACAGAUGGGAGCUUGCUCCCUGAAGUCAGCGGCGGACGGGUGAGUAACACGUGGGCAACCUGCCUGUAAGACAGGGAUAACUUCGGGAAACCGGAGUUAAUACCGGAUACGUUCUUUCCUCGCAUGAGGAAAGAUGGAAAGAUGGUUUCGGCUAUCACUUACAGAUGGGCCCGCGGCGCAUUAGCUAGUUGGUGGGGUAAUGGCCCACCAAGGCAACGAUGGGUAGCCGACCUGAGAGGGUGAUCGGCCACAAUGGGACUGAGACACGGCCCAGACUCCUACGGGAGGCAGCAGUAGGGAAUCUUCCGCAAUGGACGAAAGUCUGACGGAGCAACGCCGCGUGAGCGAAGAAGGCCUUCGGGUCGUAAAGCUCUGUUGUCAGGGAAGAACAAGUAUCGGAGUAACUGCCGGUACCUUGACGGUACCUAACCAGAAAGCCACGGCUAACUACGUGCCAGCAGCCGCGGUAAUAC
rnacentral:rRNA from 1 species